AAAAUCAACUUCCGGUUCGCAAAGCUUUGUAAACAAGGCCGACUGUGGUACAUAAAUAUGAUGUCCUGACAAAUAAGACACAGAGAUGGAUGGUGAAGAUACAAGCCCAACAACCAACUCCAGGUUUUCUUUCUCCAGAACCAGCAGUACCGGUUCUAUCCCAGCAGGCUGUUUCUCCUCAGCAUCCUCAGCCCAGGGAUCGGGUCAGUGUUCUUACUCUCUCUAAUAUUAUUGUAAACAUAUCCAUAUUUCGCUGAAUCCACUAGCUCAUAAAAGUAUUUAUAAUUUGCAAAUUUAUAUGCACCAUUAAGCAUAUAAAGGCUAAAAUCUUAAUCUGACUGAGCCUGUUUACCUUCUAGUGGUGUACAUGUUUUCCAUUUUUAUGUUAUAUCAUAAAAUGUAGAUGAAGAAGACAGUGACAGUAAACCUACUUUGAGUUACAAAGACAGACGCAGGGAAGCCCACACCCAAGCAGAACAGAAACGCAGAGAUGCCAUUAAGAAAGGUUAUGAUGAGCUACAGUACAUAGUUCCAACAUGUCAGCAGACAGACCAAAUUGGUGGAACAAAACUGAGCAAAGCAACAGUUUUACAGCGAUCCAUUGAUUACAUCCAGUUUUUGAUCUCUCAGAAGAAGAAACAGGAAGAAGAACUGGAUUCCCUGAGAAAGGAAGUCAUGGCACUGAAGAUCAUGAAGGCAAACUAUGAACAUAUAGUAAAAACUCACCAGAAUACCCCCAUGCAUGGACAAAAUUUGGUGUCAGAUGAGAAGAAAUUUCAAGUGUUUCAGAACAUCAUGGAUAACCUGUUCCAGUCAUUUAAUGCCAAUAUUUCGGUGUCGAACUUCGCAGAGCUGUCAGGGAGUGUUUUCAAUUGGCUGGAGGAAUACUGUAAACCCCAGGUAAAACCAAGCACGUGUUGAGAAAAUCUGUUAUCUACCAACUGUAUUUUAUAUGGUAUUUUCCACCCAAUCAAGACAGGACACAAAAAUUUAUGAGAAAUGAAAAUAUGUUUUUACAGUUUUCAUAAGAACAGUGCACAGCUUUGUAUUGAUGUGUGAACUAUCAAUUCAAAAUUAUUAAUAGAAAUAAUCAUUAUUUCAAUGAUAUCAGAUUAUAUAUUUCAUUCUGCUUUCUUUCUCUUUAUUCCAGACACUGCGAGAUGUCACUCUUGGAAUUCUUCAACAAAUCAACAGCAUGUGAAUAAUAUAUACCCCGUUACACAUGUAUCACACUUUGAUAAUAAAAAGAAAGAUUUGUUUUGGAUAGACCACUUCCAUUGCAGAGUCGGACAUUAAUAAGCUUUGAUGAUUUAUGUUUGUUUCUCAACAUAGAAUGUGAGUUAAGGUAGAAAUUGGCAAAAUUUUCAUUACUGUACAGCCUUGUCAAAUAGUUGAGAAAUGUAUGCAAAAUGCCAUUUUCUUUGUAUUCUUGAUCUCAUUUUGGGCAAUUGAAUUCUCAUGUUGGUUGUAUUUUCUUCUUCAUGUAUUCUGCUUACUAGAAAAACAAUAACAAAAACUUGACACCGGUAUUUGAGUUUAUUGUUGCAGUCAACAUGGUCAAGCUGUUUCAAAAUAUAAUACAUGUGUAUAAUCUUUGAAAAACAACUGUGAAUAAAUUGAAUCCACGGUUUAAAUCAUAACUGUAUGUCACAUGCAAGAUUUGUUAAAUGUUAUCAGUUUAUCAUGGAUUUAUUAAAAUGACAAACGG
rnacentral:misc_RNA from 1 species